UACGUAGGGGCCUAGCGUUGUCCGGAUUUAUUGGGCGUAAAGAGCUCGUAGGCGGUUCGGCAAGUCGGAUGUGAAAUCUCCACGCUCAACGUGGAGGGGCCAUUCGAAACUGCCGUGACUCGAGUCCGGUAGGGGAGUGUGGAAUUCCCGGUGUAGCGGUGAAAUGCGCAGAUAUCAGGAGGAACACCGGUGGCGAAGGCGGCCCUCUGGACGAAUACUGACGCUGAGACGCGAAAGCGUGGGGAGCAAACAGG
rnacentral:rRNA from 1 species